CCUCACCCUAGGCCAGGAAUGGUUUUAGGGAAGACUGUUGCCGGAUGACAAGGCUGUCACUAUUGUUCUGUACUACCUGACAUUAUGGGACCAGGCCAGCCAGCUUCAACCUGUGUUCAUCUAGCACCUAGGACCCAACUUGAUGGGAGGAGCGACCCCAAAGUACUUCAGACCCAGGUAGUUCUAUUUUUGCCUGAGAUUUUUAUUAUUAAAUAUUUCAAACAUAAAAUUUGAAAGAAAAGGACAGUGAACACUUUUGAAAUCACCUCCUAGAUUCAGCAAUUGCUAACAAUUUUUUCUGUUUUUCUACCUACUCAACCAUCUGUCUUUAAAAUUUUUGCAGAAUCACCCCAAAGCAAAUUGCAGUCAACCUGAUACUUCUAAAUAUUUGAGAAUACUUCUCCUAAAAAUGAACUCUCCUACUUAAUCAUGAUACUAUUCUUAUAC
rnacentral:lncRNA from 10 species